GUAAUGUUUCCAUAUGUAUAUUUUAACUAUUCAGAUUGUGUUUAUUAUGUGUGGUUUUUGUGGUGGCAUGUCAAGAUUCUCAAACUGAAUCAGUUUCGUUGUUGGCAACAUGCUACAGAUCAAUGCAAAUCAUUGCAAAUGAGCUAUGUACUGCAGAAAAGAACUACAUUUUGUUACUUUUAAAAAGGCCUAUAUCGAUGGCCUAUCAGUCAGAUCAAGCGAAAGAGAUGGCCUACAGUGCAUCUGGUGUGUUUAUGCUUAAUUUCGAUAAAGCAAGCUGAAUCAAGGCCCGCAAAAUUUCUAAAUCCCUGGUAGCCCUUGGGCAGGCAUUCCUCCGAUUUUGGUUGCUCGAAAUGAAUUGGACUAGCCCAAAUAAAAAAGACAAUGUUUUAUGUAGAAACAAGCACAGACUGCAAGUCAUCAUAAAUAUCACUGUGCAUCUUACUGAAGUUUGAGAAAUCUAACUGAGCAAAAUAUCAAUAACUCAUUUUACAGUUACAGUAAAUAUAUCACUUUGUUACUUUUGUAAAGGUGUGCAUUUUGCACUUCAAUUUGAUAUCAAAUAAAUCACCUGAAGUCUAAAGAUAUCUUUAGUUAAAUAUAUCAUGGAAAGAUGCACACGUUGGUGAACAAUAAAUAACUAAAUAUCUGAAAGACAACAAAUUAAUCAGCAAACACUGCAUGAAAAGUGGGAUCAUGCCCCAAAAUCUCACUAAUUCCCAGCACUUUACAGCAUUGUUGCUGGUAGCUUUCAUCAAGUCAGCAUACUUGUUGCUAUGGCACUUUUAAGAUGUUGAAGUUGCUGGUAUUAAAACUGAUAUUGUGCCUCCUAAAUAAACUAGCUCAACAGGUUUCUGUCUGCCAACCCGAUUUGCUAAUAAUGGAAUACUCCUAGACUGCCGACAUCUGUCAUGCAUUUCUUUCCUUUCAGAUGGACUGAAGGAUUUGACAACAAUGUUUUGACAGCUCCGUAUUUUUAUUUAUCGGAAAGAAUACGUUGGAUAGUCACAGUAGCCUAAGUAGGUUAGCUAAUUCUUAAGCAAGUUGAUUUCUCGUCUGAGAUAAUUCCCUAUUCUUACAAGCAGUUUGGUUGCUUUCGGAUAUCGCAGAAAACAGAUUUGUAUUAUACUAUUUUACUACAUGGUAGGUUAUUAGUUACUUUUCCCGACACCAAGUAAACCUAUGAGUACAGAGGUGUGGUAUCAACUGAGUAGGCUCCCUGAUACCGGUCCGAUACCCAGUUACUUGUAGCCUAUGUGUCGCAAUCACACAUGGAAGUAACGCAAGGAAUGGGCUACAAAUUUACACCAAACUGAUGUAGGCCUUCUUUCCCUGUCAACCAGGGUGCUGCCAGCUCUGGGACUUAAGCCCCCCUAGCCCCCUCCUCAUUGGAUACCCUAUCAAUUGUGAUGCCCUUUACUAGACGUCAGUGGCAGGCUGUGGUUUUUGUGGUUAGGCCUUCAAUGACUAUUUGUUUAGUGACCAAAAAGUUAGAUAAAAAAAUAAGUAAACUAUUUUAGGGUUUAAACGUGCACUUUUAAAGCAAUUUCAGGUGAAAAUAAUCACAUCUUCCAUCAUAUGCGAACCUGUCUGAUACUCUAUUUUUGCUCGAGCAAAGGGAGAUGGUUUUAAACCUAAAUCAGAUUUGCAUAGCACAGCUACCAAGCAAGCUGCUAGCCAGUCAAGUUAAUGUUAUCCCAUGGCAAGUCUGUGUGUAAAUAUCUGCUAUUAUGUAGCCUUUACAACACCUCAGUAAAUUUUUAGUUAAUAGAUCCGACAUUUGACACUGUUGUUUUGGUUUUUAAUAAGUAAACGACCAAUUAAAGAAGCUAGCCAGCCCUUGCUAGGGAGCUAAUUAGGCCCAACAACGGCACCUUAAUUUGUGUCAAGAAAUAUGCUCAAACCUAGCCUUAUAGACACAAACUUUCAUCAAAAGUCAGUAAAGAAAUUAACAUUUCCACUAAUUAUUUAUCAGGUUAGUGGUUCGACUUCAAAGCUACAUAAAAUGCCCAGUCACUAACAUUAAGCCCGUAACUCACCCUUGCAUUCUAGCAAACCAAGGUACAAGAUACUCUGAUUGUGUUCUGAAAAGUCUGUGAGAUUCUGUCAUUGAAACAUUUCAAUGCACUACAUGCUUUUAAAACAGUGUUUGCCUACACACCAACAGCUAUUUGUAUAACACUGGUAAACAAGUAGUCCAUAUAUAGUAGUUUGUUACGGAUAUGUUUUUGCUAUGCUGUUUAUUAAAGUAAUGAACCUUUGAACUCUGUGGCACAUUGUUUCCCUGUAAUAAUAUUGCUGUCAUUUUCAUUUAUCUAUAUAAAACAUGCACACGCAUGAAUUUGUGUUGCAAGAAUACAUCAACAGAUAGCCCUCAAGCCUUCAUGCGUGUAUUAUUUAACUAAAAUCAGCUGUGCUGUUGAAACACAAAGGAUGAAAAUAGUUAUGGUUUGUAGCGGAUGGUUUAGUCGACCGAUAAAACCAAUUUGAAAAACAACCACAAGACAACAAAAUGCUUUUAACAGUGUUGUAUUACAUCAUAGUGGUUAACAAUAAUAAUACUGUAAAUAUUGUAGGACUUUAAACACUUUGUGAUACUCUUUGAACGUACCAUGGCAUGUCGAAUGGCACACUUGGUUGGUCAUUUCACAACCAAUGUAUAUGUCUCAACAUUAUCUGUAAAUGCACAAAACAUGAUCCACAAAUAUGCAAUAAAUAUAUAAGUAAUCAUCAACAGUAUAUCAUAUAACCCCAUUUUAAAAUACCAGUCCAGUUUAGCUCUGCUUUGUGCGUCUGUGUUAGGGAUGCAACGGUACAUAGUGUUAUUAUUAGAGACAGAAACAAGGCCUUUUCAACCAUUUUUCAGAAUAGAAAGUUUUCACAUGUACUGAACUGUGGGCCCACUCUACUGUUGCAUCCCUAGUGUGUGUGCACAUUUGGGAAACAUUUGAUAGUCUAUAAAGUGACAGAAUUACUAACAGAUCAAAUCAAUGCAGAGCAAUCUGAAUAAGAAUUUGAUCAAAUCGAGCAUGUUCAGUUACAUGUACAGUUUUACAGUUGCAUGGUAGUAGCAAAGACAUUUUAGUGGCAGGCUAACUUCAGUGAUGCAGUUAUGUAGUUCCAUGGUGAGUUUCUGUCACAUCAUCAACUAAAGAGUGCAGUUCUCCGCCAAGGCCAAAUGCGUAUCUCACAAUGUUAGUGAAAGUGAAACCAAAGUCGUGGAUCUGCCCUGUGAUUUGGAUCCGGUCCAAAAUGUAAUGGGGUCUUCCUUGGGGCAUGCUACACCACCUUUCCACCAAGUGUCAUGAAAAUCGGGCCAGUAGUCUUUGUGUAAUCCUUUGUGUAACAGUCUAUUGAUUGUCCAUUUAAAUGACUAUGCUAGGUUAGCUAUAUGUUUGCCCAGUUAUUAUAUUGAAGUUACUAGUCAUUCGGGGGAAAAGCGAUUUCUGAUAUUUGUUGAGCCAGGCUGAAGAGUUUCUGGGUGAACCGGGUUGAAACAGUUGUAGCUCUGAUGUUGAAUGUCAUCAUUGCUGUGCAGUACAGGUCGGAGGAACCAUUUGCUCCUUUUGUUCAGCUUGCAUUGUUGUUGUCUUUGGAAUAACUUCCUCUGCUCGUUCCUGUUGUUAAGUUAGCUAGCAGACUUUCUGCUGCAGCCGCUAGCUCUAAACUUGUUUACUCUCAAUUAGCAGUGUGUUGUCUUGGCUUACGAGAAAUCUUAGGCAGUCGCUACUGUAAGAAAGAGAGUUAGGUGUGUCUGCCUUGAGCAGACCAUACGGUAAAGGAGGACCUUACGUCAGAGAGCUUGAGUGACAGCUCUCCUGAGAGAACAAGGAGAAAGACAAAGUAGCAGCUCCCUUGCGAGAGCGGGGAGAAAGAGAGAGUUAACUCUAGGUGAUUUUGAGUCUUGUUCACCAAAUCAGGGGUUGUAGUUCAGGUGACAUCAGGCUACAGUUACAGUGAUUGAUUGGAGGAGAGGUGUUGACUGUUUACGUAAGUUUCGGUUUAAAUCACACAAUGAACGAUUUCAAAGUGUACCACCAACAACUCAUUUAUCCAGUGACUGUAGAAAACAUUGCAUUCACCUACCUUCUGGACUGUGCUACUCACAACCCCCCGGCUACAUCAACCAUGUACUGGAACACACGUAGCCCAAAAUACAAUAGACAUGUCUACUGCAGUGUGUGUAGAGGUAAAAUUAUGAACUUCAAGACAGCAAAGGGAGACGUUAAGCCCAAAUCAUUUUUGAAUUUGCUAGGCCGUUCAUUGAAGUCAUGUCACAUGUCAACUCUGUUCAAGUAGCACACUGUUUCCCUGUAAUAAUAUUGCUUGUCGUUUCCAUCUAUCUAUCAGAACAUGCACAUGGGGCACAUAGGUGCAACCAUAUGAACAACAACCAAAUACAUGGCAUUACAAAACGCAUGAGAUAGGGAGGUAUUACAUAAAUAAAAA